rnacentral:rRNA from 1 species
GAUCCUGGCUCAGGAUGAACGCUGGCGGCGUGCUUAACACAUGCAAGUCGAACGAAGCACCUUGAUUCGAUUCUUCGGAUGAAGAUCUUGGUGACUGAGUGGCGGACGGGUGAGUAACGCGUGGGUAACCUGCCUCAUACAGGGCGAUAACAGUUAGAAAUGACUGCUAAUACCGCAUAAGACCACAGCACCGCAUGGUGCAGGGGUAAAAACUCCGGUGGU